rnacentral:tRNA from 1 species
GGUGGGUUGGCUCAGUGGUUAGAGCGUAGGUCUCGUAACCGAAAGGUCGCGGGAUCAAAUCCCGGCUGAAAUUUAUUU